UACGAAGGGUGCAAGCGUUAAUCGGAAUUACUGGGCGUAAAGGGUGCGUAGGCGGUUAUUUAAGUCUGCCGUGAAAUCCCCGGGCUCAACUUGGGAAUUGCAGUGGAUACUGGCAGGCUGGAGUACGGUAGAGGAAGGUGGAAUUCCCGGUGUAGCAGUGAAAUGCGUAGAGAUCGGGAGGAACACCAGUGGCGAAGGCGGCCUUCUGGACCAGUACUGACGCUCAUGCACGAAAGCGUGGGGAGCAAACAGG
rnacentral:rRNA from 1 species